UCCAAGCUGCUGGGAGACCCACCAGGCACACAGCAGAGAGAUCUCUCGGACCUGUGGCAGUUGUACAGAGAGCUCUAGUGUUCCUCUGAUGAGGCAUCACCUAUGCUUUGGCUUUGGCGGGCUUCCCAAGACACAGCUCCUUCAGAGUCAUCCCGGCUCCUCUGUUUUCUCAUCCUGAGGUUUGCCUGUAAAACUCGGGAACCACUAUUGACAAUCUCCUGCUCUAAUUAAAUACUGCUGUGCCUUCCGGAUUGUCACUCCUGCCUCCUUCCCCCUCAGACUGCAGAUAGACAACUCUGCAGCGUAGUUGCAGCCACUGCUCCUGACUGCAUGGGGACUGUGACCCCUGGCCUCUGAGGAAAAAGUGAGAGGAUGGGCAGGAGAUGUGGUUUCCCAAUAGAAACCUCUUCAUACAAACACCGAGGCAUGAAGACCAAUUGUCCCCUCCAACAUAUGACACAUGUUGCAACAGAUAUACUGUACUACUGAUAACUUGUAUGGAAUUAUAUUUUUAAGCAAUGAUUUAUUGGAUUCUUGCUAUGUGCCAGAUAUCAUGCCAAAAGCUUUACAAAUAUGUUGGCUCAGUGAAUCCUCAAAAUAUUCCUAGGAAAGACAACAGUUUGGUGUUUCCCUCAAGAAAUUAAACAACAAUCUAGCAUA